rnacentral:rRNA from 1 species
CCUACGGGAGGCAGCAGUGAGGAAUAUUGGUCAAUGGCCGGAAGGCUGAACCAGCCAAGCCGCGUGAAGGACGAAGGUGCCAAGCAUUGUAAACUUCUUUUGUCAAGGGACAAAAUCAGGCUCGAGAGCCUGACCGAGGGUACUUGAAGAAAAAGCCACGGCUAACUCCGUGCCAGCAGCCGCGGUAAUACGGAGGAUGCGAGGGUUAUCCGGUUUUAUGGGGUUAAAGGGGUGCGUAGGCGGACUGUUAAGUCCGCGGUAAAGCCCCGGGGCUCAACCCCGGCGAGCCGUUGAAACUGGGUGUCUGGAGAGGUCGAGGGGUAUGCGGAAUGCGCAGUGUAGCGGUGAAAUGCUUAGAUAUUGCGAAGAACUCCGAUUGCGAAGGCAGCAUACCGGCGGCGAUCUGACGCUGAGGCACGAAGGCGUGGGUAUCGAACAGGAUUAGAUACCCGUGUAGUC